UCGGAAGGCAGGAAACGAGUUAUCUGAACCUUCGGGGAACGAUAACGGCGUCGAGCGGCGGACGGGUGAGUAAUGCCUAGGAAAUUGCCCUGAUGUGGGGAAUAACCAUUGGAAACGAUGGCUAAUACCGCAGGAUGCCUACGGGCCAAAGAGGGGGACCUUCGGGCCUCUCGCGUCAGGAUAUGCCUAGGUGGGAUUAGCUAGUUGGUGAGGUAAGGGCUCACCAGGGCAACAAUCCCUAGCUGGUCUGAGAGGAUGAUCACCCACACUGGAACUGAAACACGGUCCAAACUCCUACGGGAGGCAGCAGUGGGGAAUAUUGCACAAUGGGCGCAAGCCUGAUGCACCCAUGCCGCGUGUAUGAAAAAGGCCUUCGGGUUGUAAAGUACUUUCAGUCGUGAGGAAGGCGGCGUCUUUAAUAGCGGCUUUGUUUGACGUUAGCGACAAAAAAAGCACCGGCUAACUCCGUGCCAGCACCCGCGGUAAUACGGAGGGUGCGAGCGUUAAUCGGAAUUACUGGGCGUAAAGCGCAUGCAGGUGGUUUGUUAAGUCAGAUGUGAAAGCCCGGGGCUCACCCUCGGAAUAGCAUUUGAAACUGGCAGACUAGAGUACUGUAGAGGGGGGUAGAAUUUCAGGUGUAGCGGUGAAAUGCGUAGAGAUCUGAAGGAAUACCGGUGGCGAAGGCGGCCCCCUGGACAGAUACUGACACUCAGAUGCGAAAGCGUGGGGAGCAAACAGGAUUAGAUACCCUGUAGUCCACGCCGUAAACGAUGUCUACUUGGAGGUUGUGCCUUGAGCCGUGCUUUCGGAGCUAACGCGUUAAGUAGACCGCCUGGGGAGUACGGUCGCAGAUUAAAACUCAAUGAAUUGACGGGGCCCGCACAGCGGUGGAGCAUGUGUUUA
rnacentral:rRNA from 1 species